ensembl:misc_RNA 7SK 7SK RNA
GGAUGUGAGGGCGAUCUGGCUGCGACAUCUGUCACCCCACUGGUCGCCAGGGUUGAUUUGGCUGAUCUGGCUGGCUAGGCGGGUGUCCCCUUCCUCCCUCACUGCUCCAUGUGCGUCCCUCCCGAAGCUGUGUGCUUGGUCGAAGAGGACGGCCUUUCCUGAAUAGAGACGGACCGGUCUUCGGUCGACGGUAUAUGAGUAGCUGCGCUCCCCAGCUAGAACCUCCAAACAAGCUCUCAAUUUCUCUAUCAAAUUGAAUAAAUAAUAUCUAACAUAAUUUUAAAUUAAAAAUUAUGUUAGAUAUUAUUU